GACGAACGCUGGCGGCGUGCUUAACACAUGCAAGUCGAACGGUAAGGCCCUUUCGGGGGUACACGAGUGGCGAACGGGUGAGUAACACGUGGGUGAUCUGCCCUGCACUUUGGGAUAAGCCUGGGAAACUGGGUCUAAUACCGGAUAGGACUACGCGAUGCAUGUCGUGUGGUGGAAAGCUUUUGCGGCGUGGGAUGGGCCCGCGGCCUAUCAGCUUGUUGGUGGGGUGAUGGCCUACCAAGGCGACGACGGGUAGCCGGCCUGAGAGGGUGUCCGGCCACACUGGGACUGAGAUACGGCCCAGACUCCUACGGGAGGCAGCAGUGGGGAAUAUUGCACAAUGGGCGCAAGCCUGAUGCAGCGACGCCGCGUGGGGGAUGACGGCCUUCGGGUUGUAAACCCCUUUCAGCACAGACGAAGCGUGAGUGACGGUAUGUGCAGAAGAAGCACCGUCCAACUACGUG
rnacentral:rRNA from 1 species